AACUAACAAGGAUUCCCUCAGUAAGGGCGACUGAAGCGGGAAAAGCUCACCGUGUGAAUCGACAUUUAAUGUCGAGUUGUGGUCUGUAGAAGCAUCGUCGGUCGACGUUCCGAGCUAAGUCUCUUGGAAAAGAGCAGCUGAGAGGGUGACACUCCCGUUCUUGCUUGGAAUGUGCGAUCAUAGCACGUGCCUUCAACGAGUCGAGUUGCUUGGGAUUGCAGCUCAAAUGCGUGGUAUACUCCAUGUAAAGCUAAAUAUUGGUAGGAAACCGAUAGCGCACAAGUACAGUGAUGUAAAGAUGAAAAGAACUUUGAAAAGAGAGUUAAAGAGUACCUGAAAUUGCUGAAAGGGAAGCGAAUGGAAACAGUGUGUUUCCGUACCAUUCUUCCUUCGCGACUUGUCGCGGGGGCGCUGUGGUGCGGAGUCAGUCAGCAUGGGUUUGGAUCGUGACAUAUAACCAUUGAGGAGGCAUGCUUCUUUUAGCAGAUUACUCUUUGGCGUUGUCCUGGUCUGGAUCGAGGCUAGUAUUUCGUGAUGCUGACGAAAUGUUUCUAUUCACC
rnacentral:rRNA from 1 species